GGUCAACUUCACGCGUUAAGUAGACCCUGAGCCAGGAUCAAACUCUGCUGUUUCCUGUGUGAAAGAAAGCGGGGGACCGAAAGGCCUCGCGCUCAAGGGGCGGCCGAUGGCAGAUUAGCUAGUUGGUGGGGUAAAGGCCUACCAAGGCGACGAUCUGUAGCUGGUCUGAGAGGACGACCAGCCACACUGGGACUGAGACACGGCCCAGACUCCUACGGGAGGCAGCAGUGGGGAAUUUUGGACAAUGGGGGCAACCCUGAUCCAGCAAUGCCGCGUGUGUGAAGAAGGCCUUCGGGUUGUAAAGCACUUUUGUCCGGAAAGAAAACCGCUUCUCUAAUACAGAGGUGGGAUGACGGUACCGGAAGAAUAAGCACCGGCUAACUACGUGCCAGCAGCCGCGGUAAUACGUAGGGUGCGAGCGUUAAUCGGAAUUACUGGGCGUAAAGCGUGCGCAGGCGGUUCGCUAAGACCGAUGUGAAAUCCCCGGGCUUAACCUGGGAACUGCAUUGGUGACUGGCGGGCUAGAGUAUGGCAGAGGGGGGUAGAAUUCCACGUGUACCACUGAAAUGCGUA
rnacentral:rRNA from 1 species